AGUCCCCUGCGUUGUGCGUGAUAGAUAUUAACUUGAUCCUCGUGAAAAAAUUAAAACGGGAGCUGUCCCUGGAGAGGGUGUGCAUGCCCAGAUUAGACUGGGAAGCCUAAACUUUCCGAUAUGGCACCCACCUGGCAUACGACCAGGUUCAAGCGUAUCUGCACGGCAAUGGCGGGGGACUU
rnacentral:other from 4 species